ACUGCAAAUUGUUAGAGCUUGAAGUUGAGGCCGCUGGCUGGCCAAUGAACUAUAAAUUUUGUAUUGUCCCAGUGACACUA
rnacentral:snoRNA from 1 species